UGUAACUGAUGUGGCCGGAAUGUGUCAAGUAGCGGUGAAAUGCAUAGAUAUGACACAGAACACCGAUAGCGAAGGCAGCUCACAAAAUUACAACUGACACUGAGGCACGAAAGCGUGGGUAUCAAACAGGAUUAGAUACCCUGGUAGUCCACGCUGUAAACGAUGAUCACUAGCUGUUUGCGAUACAUUGUAAGUGGUUAAGCGAAAGCGAUAAGUGAUCCACCUGGGGAGUACGUCGGCAACGAUGAAACUCAAAGGAAUUGACGGGGGCCCGCACAAGCGGAGGAGCAUGUGGUUUAAUUCGAUGAUACGCGAGGAACCUUACCUGGGCUUGAACGUAUGGUGCAUGAGUGUGAAAGCACUCUUUCCUUCACAGGACUUCAUACGAGGUGCUGCAUGGUUGUCGUCAGCUCGUGCCGUGAGGUGUUAGGUUAAGUCCUGCAACGAGCGCAACCCCUGUUUUUAGUUGCCAGCAGGUUAUGCUGGGCACUCUAGAAAGACUGCCUGCGCAAGCAGAGAGGAAGGUGGGGAUGACGUCAAAUCAGCACGGCCCUUACGUCCAGGGCUACACACGUGCUACAAUGGUCGGCACAGAGGGUGGCUACCCGGCAACGGGAUGCUAAUCUCCAAAGUCGAUCUUAGUUCGGAUCGAAGUCUGCAACUCGACUUCGUGAAGUUGGAUUCGCUAGUAAUCGUAUAUCAGCCAUGAUACGGUGAUACGUUCCCGGGCCUUGUACACACCGCCCGUCAAGCCAUGGAAGUUGGGGGUACCUGAAGUCGAUUACCGUAAGG
rnacentral:rRNA from 1 species